rnacentral:lncRNA from 1 species
CAACGUGGUAUGUGAAACAAAAGAUUUUUCUUGAAGUCUGUUAUUACCUACUGCUGCUGCCUUAGAAGCCUGUGAGGCUUGACUAUAUCUGUUAUUACCUACUGCUGCUGCCUUAGAAGCCUGUGAGGCUUGACUAUAUAAAACAGUAUGGUUUAAGAUGUCUGCUGCGUUUGUAGUUUAAAUUAUGUCUGCAUCAUGUUUCAUUCAUUGCAUGAUCCAUGUUUUAUUUGUGUAUAAGUUUUGGCUUGUGUGUUCUCGUGUCCGAUAUAUAUUUAAUUAUACGUAUAGUGCCAGUGGAUGGUUGUGAAAGGUGGAGUUCUUUAAUUGAUUGAUGGCUGUCAUUGGUGCUUGGUGCCGCUGAUUGUUUUUAUUGAAGUUUUAUAUGUUUGUGGUUCUUUUUUUUGUUCAGUUCUGCUUUAGAUUGCAAAUUUUUGUUAUAAUGACAUAGC